CUGCUGAAGCCAAGGGAUGAUACUGCUGAUCAGCCACUCCGGACUCCUGCGCUCGGUUGCGCGCGCGCGCACACACACACACAUUCUCUCUCUCUCUCUCUCUCUGUAAGCGUCCUUAUAUUGUCAUAGUUUAGGCUAAAGGAGGGAAGGGGCAGAAACUCGGCCUGUCCCUUCGUGUAGCCAAAGUCAGGGAAGUUGUCUUCCCUUCCUUCCCCACCCCUCUUUACAGUAGUGGUAGCCCAACUUUCUAAGUCCACUACUGUCCUGUCAUUCAAUGUGGAAGUAUUUUCUUAGUUUGUCCUAAGGAAUUCUAGUUCAGAAUUCCUUAUUCAGGUUUUUAUUUGCAGAGUUUUGAAGGAAGGCCCCGGUGACUGCAGAGUAAUUCAAUUUAAGAGAGAUAAAUUAAAAUAUUUAACACAUAAUUAUUCUCUUACCUGGGAGAAACCAAAGGGAGUAGAAAGCACUGGUGAAGAAAGAAGAAAUCUGGCUGCCAGACAGACAAUUCAUUAAUGUAUACAUCUAUCAGAUGGCCUGUAGGAGCUGCAGUCUUUAGAGGAGGGGUAAGGGGUGAGGGUCUCACACCAACAGGAAAGGACGUCCUUUCUUUCCAGCAUAGGUGAUGUAGGUAAGUAUUUGUCUAGGCGAAUGGAUUGCUUUUAGUGCCUCCUGUUUAAUAAUUAGUGGUGCAAUUCAGUUUGGGAAUACAGCGGUCGUUUUGUUUACAUUAUAACAGGGGAUUAAUACUAUUAAAUGAAUGCUACAGUUAUGACCCGGGGAGA
rnacentral:lncRNA from 1 species